UUCAGAUCUGCACAUUUUUUAUUAUUUGUAUUUUAUUUUAAAAUUUUGCAGAUGAGUUCAUAGCCUUCUAUUGUUUGUUUACUUCAAACUUUAUUUGUUUAUUGACAUUUCAAAUUUGCAAGAAAACAAAAAUUAUUGUAAAUAUUAGCACACACAACACACACAUCUGCAACGAAAAUAAAUUCACUCGAUAGAAAACAAAGAACCAAAUGUUUUUAUCGAAUCCAACAAAAACAAAAACCGGAUAGAGGAAGAGUUGAUCUUCGGCAUUGUUGUAGGUCGGCCGGUGGCUGAAAUUGUAAUCGCAAACCCAAACAAAACAAAUGGCCAAGAAAUGAGAGGUGUUCCAUGUACUAAAUUAAAACAAAAACGUCUUUGGAAAAAUUCUUUUAAAAAAUUCAUGCUAAGAGCUCUGGUGGUCUUUGGAAAAAUUCUUUUAAAAAUCCACGUUUAGAGCUCUUUUGGUCUUUGGAAAAAUCUUUUAAAAAAUCCACGCUUAGAGCUAUGUUGGUGUUUGGAAAAAUUCUUUUAAAAAAUCCACGCUUAGAGCUAUGUUGGUGUUUGGAAAAAUUCUUUUAAAAAAUUCACGCUUAGAGCUCUGUUGGUCUUUGGAAAAAUUCUUUUAAAAAAUCCUCGCUUAGAGCUCUGUUGGUCUUUGGAAAAAAUCUUUUAAAAAAUCCACGCUUAGAGCUCUGUUGGUCUUUGGAAAAAAUCUUUUAAAAAAAAUCCACGCUUGGAGAUCUGAUAGUCCUUCACAAGAACUUAUUCCCUUCGGUAUAUGCUUCAUAUGCAAAUUUGUCAUCCAAUUUUUAAUUCAUUUUGAAAAAAAAACAAAAGCUAUGAAAAAUUCAUUCAUGCUCCAAUAUUUCAUGUCACACCGUUAUAAUAGCUGAUGCAAAAAAGUUACAAACGAUA